UAAUAAGUGUUUUAUGGCACUUUUUAAAUCCAUAUCCACCUUGUGUGCAAUGUCGGUCGAUCUUCUUCAUGGAGAUCGACCAAACAUCAACCUUUAUCUUUUAACUCUUUGUCUGAAAAAUACUUAUGGAUAAACAAUUCAAGAAUA
rnacentral:misc_RNA from 1 species